GGGCACAGCUUCUCUGGCUCUCCUUGGGACCUUCUUCAUGUCAAGUAUUUGACCUCCAUAGUUUUGAAAUAUUGGGUGCCCCUUGGAUGCAUGCAGCCUCCAGUUCAGCCGAUUGCCAGAACCUUGCUCCUGAGUGAAGAGGUGAGAGUGAAAAGGAAAGAAGCGGCCUUGAGAGCUCCUUAUAAAUGAAUGGAAGAACAUUGCUAAUCUGCUUCACGCUCUCCUGGUGCCAGUUGUCUCUGCAAGGAUGGAAAUUGCUGCUAAAUCAGCAGUCACAGGUUCCAAAUGCAAGGGUCCACCUGGAUGCUCAGGUCAUCUGUGAGGGUCAAGAAGAAGCCAGGACACAGGAGGGCCCUUUCCUAGUUGCAGCUCAUGAGAAAUGGUCUGCUGAAUGUUCAGUGUGACCAGAUGAAGACGAAGGAGCUACAGAGGAAACAUAUAGGAGCUCCAGUAUGCCUCAGGACGUGAUGCAGUACACAGACUCAAGAGACCUUUUCAGUUUGGGAUGUGUUUGCUAUGAUGCAUAGAUGCUCAGGCAUAGUCCUCUGCCUGACUCUCAUGAAAAAUGUGCACUAGAGCCAGAAGUGCUGUGUUUCUGGCUGCAGAACCCCACAACAAUGUACAGUGAAGAACAUUGGCAGGACCACAUUCAGCCUUAACACAGACCACAUUUCCCUCCUUAAUCCAGAGGUUCCAUCUUUAGGCCCAUCCAAGAGGUUUCCAUAACUGUUCAUCAAGCAUGCAAGAAGUAAGGAUUAAAUACUUCAGAGUCACUAAACAGCCUUUAGUUUCCUAGAGCAUUUCUCACCAGAUUGUAAAAAUAUAGAACAAGGACUCUAUAUUGUGGAAAUUAUAUUUUUGCUAGAAAACAGGAAUAAACUCCUCUUUCUUAUCUUCCUUGCAAACUCUUCCUUCAGAUUGCUGAGCAGCCUAUUUCCUUAUUUCCAACUGUUAGCAUUCAUUUAGAGUUUUCUGCACCAUGCAGAUUGCCAGUCUUUCUUACCUUCCUUUUCCUCUUUCAUACACAAUUGCAGUAAAGAGAAUUUGUUCCCUCCGUAGCUGUCACACUGCACACAGAGCCAAUCUACCUCUCAGCAAUGCUACUGAGUAGAACAGGCACAAAGGAGUAUUCUGGAGUGUCACCUCUCAUGGGCAGGACAAACAGCUUCCAGCCACUUCCUAAAUGUAUGGUUGUUCAGGGACAAUGUCACCCACAUCAACAUACAAAAUUCUGCUAACUCAUAUCUCAGAUUUUUGUAUUGUACACAUGCAUAUUAAAGAUCGUGAUUUU
rnacentral:lncRNA from 7 species